rnacentral:snRNA from 1 species
GGAUGUAAAGAUCAUCUGGCUGCUAAAUAUGUCACCUGGUUGAUGGAUUGCUAGAGUUGGUUUGGCUCAUCUGGCCUGCUAUGUAGGUGUCUCCUUUCUCCCUUAGUGUUUCAUAUGUGUCCCUCCUGAAGCUGUGUACUCAGGUGAAGAAAAGAGCCUCUCCUGGAUAGAAUGACCAUUCAGUUGAAGGUAUGUCAGUAGCUGCACUUCCAUAAUAAGACCUCCAAAGCAUCGCUUAUGAUUAACUUCAGAUGGGAUCAUAACCAGAAAGCUUAACAAGCAAAGUAUUUUCACUGU